AUUGAACGCUGGCGGCAUGCUUUACACAUGCAAGUCGAACGGUAACAGGCCGCAAGGUGCUGACGAGUGGCGAACGGGUGAGUAAUGCAUCGGAACGUGCCCAGUCGUGGGGGAUAACGCAGCGAAAGCUGUGCUAAUACCGCAUACGAUCUAUGGAUGAAAGCGGGGGACCGUAAGGCCUCGCGCGAUUGGAGCGGCCGAUGUCAGAUUAGCUAGUUGGUGGGGUAAAGGCCCACCAAGGCGACGAUCUGUAGCUGGUCUGAGAGGACGACCAGCCACACUGGGACUGAGACACGGCCCAGACUCCUACGGGAGGCAGCAGUGGGGAAUUUUGGACAAUGGGCGCAAGCCUGAUCCAGCAAUGCCGCGUGCAGGAAGAAGGCCUUCGGGUUGUAAACUGCUUUUGUACGGAACGAAACGGUCUGGGUUAAUACCCUGGGCUAAUGACGGUACCGUAAGAAUAAGCACCGGCUAACUACGUGCCAGCCGCCGCGGUAAGAC
rnacentral:rRNA from 1 species